GACAGAGGGGGCAAGCGUUGCUCGGAAUCACUGGGCGUAAAGGGCGCGUAGGCGGGAUGGCAAGUCGGUCGUGAAAUCCUUCGGCUCAACCGAAGAACGUCGGCCGAUACUGCCGUUCUUGAGGGAUGCAGAGGAGAUUGGAAUUCCAGGUGUAGCGGUGAAAUGCGUAGAUAUCUGGAGGAACACCGGUGGCGAAGGCGGCAUCCUGGACCAACACUGACGCUGAGGAGCGAAAGCCAGGGGAGCAAACGGG
rnacentral:rRNA from 1 species